rnacentral:rRNA from 1 species
GCGAGCGGCGGAUGGGUGAGUAACACGUGGGGAACCUGCCCCUAAGUCUGGGAUACCAUUUGGAAACAGGUGCUAAUACCGGAUAAUAAAGCAGAUCGCAUGAUCAGCUUUUGAAAGGCGGCGUAAGCUGUCGCUAAGGGAUGGCCCCGCGGUGCAUUAGCUAGUUGGUAAGGUAACGGCUUACCAAGGCGACGAUGCAUAGCCGAGUUGAGAGACUGAUCGGCCACAUUGGGACUGAGACACGGCCCAAACUCCUACGGGAGGCAGCAGUAGGGAAUCUUCCACAAUGGACGCAAGUCUGAUGGAGCAACGCCGCGUGAGUGAAGAAGGUUUUCGGAUCGUAAAGCUCUGUUGUUGGUGAAGAAGGAUAGAGGUAGUAACUGGCCUUUAUUUGACGGUAAUCAACCAGAAAGUCACGGCUAACUACGUGCCAGCAGCCGCGGUAAUACGUAGGUGGCAAGCGUUGUCCGGAUUUAUUGGGCGUAAAGCGAGCGCAGGCGGAAAAAUAAGUCUAAUGUGAAAGCCCUCGGCUUAACCGAGGAACUGCAUCGGAAACUGUUUUUUCUUGAGUGCAGAAGAGGAGAGUGGAACUCCAUGUGUAGCGGUGGAAUGCGUAGAUAUAUGGAAGAACACCCAGUGGCGAAAGGCGGCUCUCUGGUCUGCAACUGACGCUGAGGCUCGAAAAGCAUGGGUUAGCGAACAGGAAUUAGAUACCC